CUUGUGGCUGAGCACGCAUGUCCUGUAUAGGGAGAUCAUCUUGGCUGAUACCCUUGGGGUUUCUUUUGUUCCUUUCUUCUGUUUCAGAAGAGGUGGGUGACGGGAGGUAGAGUAUGGAGUCUAGUGCGGUGAUCUGAUUCAAUUCUGCAGCGCGGAGAGGGCACUCCGGGCUGCUUGGGAAGGCAGCUGGCCCCUGGAUAAGGCUCUGCCGGGCUCCCUGUGCACUGCUCCUGGCGAGCAAGCCCGGCAACCUGAGCAGCCUCUCGUAUGAUGCCACCUCCUGCUUCCUCACUGCCCAACCCGGCAGUCCGCCUGACUCUCUGGCCGUUGGUCUCCAGUGCCCUGGAAACAUCCUCACCUUCUACCUCGCCUGUCAAAAGAGCAAGAAGAUCAACACAGCAGGAGAUGGCUCCUCAGCAUUUGAAAACUCAGAGUGUCAGCAUCCUCCUCCUCUUCCUUCCAGGCAAAUAAGGUCUAGGGUCACCUGGGUGGCUCAGUUGGUGAAGCGUCUGCAUGAUCUCAGGGUCCUAGGAUUGAGUCCCGCGUCAGGCUCCCUGCUCAGCCAGGAGUCUGUUUCUCUCUCUCCCUCUGCCUCUCUCCUUGCUUGUGUUCUCUCUCACUCUCAAAUAAAUAAAGAAAAUCUUUUUUAAAAAAGUGAGAGAGGGGAAGCCCGGGUGGCUCAGCAGUUUAGUGCCGCCUUUGGCCCAGGGUGUGAUCCUAGAGACCUGGGAUCGAGUCCCGCGUCGGGCUCCCUGCAUGGACCCUGCUUCUCCCUCUGCCUGUGUCUCUGCCUGUCUCUAUCUCUCAUGAAUAAAUAAAAUCUUAAAAAAAAAAAGAGAAUAAAG
rnacentral:lncRNA from 12 species